UUUUAUCACUUGGGUCUGCUUCUGGACCAUUAGUGAUUCAGAAUUAAGGUCGUGGUCAACUAUGAUUUCAAUUGACAGUACACGGGUCAUUAGGGAAAUUAAAAAGAAAAAGAAAAUAAAAAAAAGAAAAGAACCCAAUGCACGAGACUCCUGCUAUUGUAAGGUUUAGGAAGGAUAAGAGCGUACGCAACCAUACACCCUGCUUCACACAAGAGGCUGUUUGCAAGUUUUGAACAUGUGACCACCCUCACUCUGUCUACGAAACCCGUAUUCUUAUCUGGCUCGCUUGUUCCCCCAAUGUUCUUGGGGUCCCAUUUAAACCCUUUUUGUCUCUGAACUGAAACUCUCUGAUUUCCCAAGCUUUAUCCCCUGGAAACCCUUGUUGCAGGUAAGAGAAAAUAUCUUUUUUUUUUUUUUUUUUGCUUUGAUUUAUUUGCCAAUAUCUUUACAUCCUUAUCUUGUGGAUAAGAUAGUUCUGUAAUCUUUGUUUGAUUGGCCAUUGUCAUAACUCUCUCUCUCUCCAACAUUAUUAAUUGCAUAAUUGAUGUUUUGACGCUUUUGACUUGAGAAUUGACGGUUUUUUUUUGGUGGGUAAAUGAUGAAUUGUUUCUUAGAACCCCAUUGUUGCUAUUUCUUUGCAUAAUUUUUGUUCUGUCAUGCUUUCCUUAUUGCUUUGGAGAAAAUGAGAUCGUUUUGUUGCUUCUUCAAGAAAUUCAAUUUCAGCAAUUUGUCUCAGAUGUUCGAUUGCUGGGGUUAACUCUUCUGUUGACCAGAUUUUGAACAAGCUACACAUCCUGUGGGAAGGGGGUUAUUAGGUACGGAGGAAAGAGACGAGAUGAUAGAGUUUGCAAGAUGAAAAUCAAGGGCAACAUCGUAAGAAAAUGCACAAGGGUGAAGGAGUGGCAGCAUUUUGGGUAAUUUUCAAAUACUAUGUUAUGGUCCCAUAACAGCCAUAUUAUAACGCCCCAGUCCCAUUAACAUUGGUACAAUAUUGUCUUGACCCAUGGGCCUCAAUGCUUUAAAAUGUGUUGUACCAUGUUAAAGAGAUUAAAGAUUAUUAACUAGCCCAACAAUCUCUCCUUAGGCGAUGUUGGAUUAAAGUUUA